GGGGCGUUAGCUCAGUCGGGAGAGCACCUGCCUUGCACGCAGGAGGUCCGGGGUUCGAGUCCCCGACGCUCCACCA
rnacentral:tRNA from 1 species